rnacentral:lncRNA from 1 species
AUUUUUCUUUAGCCCCAAACCACAUGGUAACAUCCUAUUUUGGUUUUUCUUCCUACAGCAUUUGAACUUACUGCUCUCUUGCCGGACUCCUCUGCUCAGUAAUAUCCAUCCAAAUUCAGAUGAUUCUAACCAAAGGCUACAUAGAAAAGAAGAGGAAACAAAGGCAACAAUUUGGGAUUCUCUUGCUGACUUUAUCCUUCUUGACCUGGAGAAAAGAAAAGAGAUAGAAAGGAAGAAGAAAGAUGGACGAUUCAUUUGCUCUCUCUCCUUUGGCUCACUUAGCAUUGAUGAAGGAAAGGAGUGUUCCGUGGGUGGUCCAAGAAUUCUGAACAGCCCUGGGCUGUAGGGCAGACAAAGGAUAGUAGUGUUUCUCCUUCUGAAACUCUCAGGCAGAAGUGUCUGGUGAAGCUUCCCCAUUUUGAUUUGGCUUGUUUGGAUCUGAUGUGGACUCAAUAGAGUAGCUAUGAAGAACAGAAUCUUGGACUGCUGUAGGUUCCAGAUUCACCUACGGUUGUGGGGGCAUCUUAACCUCUCCAAUCUGUCUGUGGGACUCUGUCUUUGUGCUUUGGGUCCGUAACUUAAGAGAUGGUCCUUACAUAAUAUCGCAGAUAAUUUUGAGUUUCAUCUCAACUUCAAACAUAUGCUUUACACUUUUAAUUAAUACCCUAUAACAACAAUUAUUUGUUUAGCUGAACCACCAUUUCUCUUUCCUACCUCCC